ACAGCAUGCAAAUGUGUCCGCUUCGACCAUUGUGUGAACAGCACUAUUUUAAAAUGCAUUGCAACUGGCUUUGAGAAGUUCAACUUGACAGCAGGAAUAUUCCUCUUUAGGAUAAAUGAAACGCUGAAGAAUUUAACAAAUGAAGUCACCCCACAAUGGCCCACACUGGUGUCUCCUAAAAAAUUCUUUGAGUACAUCCGAGAUCUACGUCAAAAAUCAAAUGCAUUAGCGACUCAUUCCACUAACCAUCUAAGGGCCCGGAGGAGAGUAUCGAGACGAAAGUAAGGACGAAAAGAAAAGACGAGAACACACUUCAAUCUUCUGUGCCAGAGAGAAGAUGACACCAGAUAAUAUAUUAAAGAAGAGAUUUUUUUUUACAAAAAAGGCAUAACAUAAGAUAAUGGGGAGCAAUGGCUCAGGGGAGAGCAAGGCCCAAAAUAACAACCAAAACAAUCCACUAAAAAUCCAACUAACUUUCAAUUUGAAGUAAGAUCUCUGAACACUUUCGGUUAGCACAGGUCAAUGCCACUGCUAACACACAAUUAAUGUUUCACAGUGUCACAGUUGAUAUUUAUAAUUCUCUGUUUGUUUGAUUUGUAACAAUUUAUAAUUAUGUUUGUUUAAUUUAUUUUAUUUAUGGGUUUAUUUUAUGUAAUUUAUGACUUAUUUAUAUAUUUAUUCAUUUAUUUAUUUUUGUCUGUAUGAAUGUUUCAAACUGUCAAAUAUAGAAAUUACGCAAUAAAGUCCACUUUACAGCAAAUCCUCAGAUGUUUGUGUUAUAAUUUAGCAAAUAGCCCAAUGGUUAU